CUGUAUCAAAAUUGAUCUGGCCACGACGACGACCACAAUUCGCUGUGUCUAAUAUAAUCUGAGCUGGCCGGGUUAUAUCAAUAAAUAUCGAGCAAAUUGAAUGAGAUGCUCAUCCCUGGCAACAGGAAUCAAUGCCAUCAUAUACUCGUCUGUGCUGUGCUGUGCUCGCUGUCCUAGAGCUGCUGCUGCUGCUGGCGGAGCGGGGCUUUAGACUUUCUUCUUCUUCUUCAUCUCAUACUUAUGGAAUAGAAGCGCAGCACAGUUCUCUCUCUCUCUCUGCUUGCUAGCUAUAGCUAUAUGUAUACCAGCGAUUGAGAAAUAUAUAUCAACCCCCGGCUGGCAGCUCGGGCAAUAUCGUUGGCCACGCAACUGCUUGGGCGAAAGAAGAAGAAGAAAAAACCUCUCUUUCUAGCCCCUCUUUUUUUUUUUUCUUUUAAGAAAAGAAGAAGAAGAAAAAAAAACCUCCAAGUGCUAUUGCAGCUCAGAAAACUGCUGUAUAGCUUCGCCGUCGUCUCUGCUGCUGCUCUCUAGCCCCCAUGACUCUUCAUUCCCGAACCAUUUCCUGAAAACCUCCUACGACCUCACAAACCCCACUGUGAUGCGAGGGUGGUAUGGUGUACAUGUAUAGAGGAGGAAGAAAGAAAAAAGAUGGCCGAACGCGUGAAGAAAACCGCCGGGUCGCACAGUAUGCGGCCCCUUCUUCUUCUUUUUUUUCACCCCAACGCCGCCUUCAUCAUUACACGUAUAUACGCAUAUACACUAUUUAUACAUACAUCAUGUAAUACCCUUUAAGUUUUUUUUAGAAAAAAA